rnacentral:rRNA from 1 species
UACGGGGGGCAAGCGUUGUUCGGAAUUACUGGGCGUAAAGGGCUCGUAGGUGGCCAACUAAGUCAGACGUGAAAUCCCUCGGCUUAACCGGGGAACUGCGUCUGAUACUGGAUGGCUUGAGGUUGGGAGAGGGAUGCGGAAUUCCAGGUGUAGCGGUGAAAUGCGUAGAUAUCUGGAGGAACACCGGUGGCGAAGGCGGCAUCCUGGACCAAUUCUGACACUGAGGAGCGAAAGCCAGGGGAGCAAACGGG